rnacentral:antisense_RNA from 1 species
CCAGUACGAGUAAUGCAUGUGAUUUAGCGUGUCACCCUGUUGUCUGUAGGCGAAGGGGAAGCCCGUCCCGGGGGUGGGGACCGCCGGAUAGUCGUUAAGCUGGGUGUAUGAUGGGGCAUGGGGUGGGGAUAUCUGCAUGGCCUGCUGCAUUGCGUUGUAACCACACUGUGUGAUAGAGGCGCCCGGUGGAGGGACCCGUCCUUGGGUGCAGGAACUAUAGUUGCCGAUUUGGUUCAUAGCACUGGCCAUCCCUGCUUGCGACGAAUUGUGUGCCAAAGCUUGUGCCCAUCCCUGAUAUUGAGAAUACUGAGAAUAAGGAGGGGGAGAGAAAUACGGUUUGGAGAGGGAGAACUGAUUGUAUGGUCCACAGUGGCUGUCAGGGGCAAACAAAGGCUUGGGCAGAGAAAGGGACGCCCGGUAUGGGCGCCUCAUUCUACGGCGACGGCGAUAAUUUCCUUUUUCAAACAUGUCCUCGAAUGCCGGGUCCAGGGUCCAGAAAUUUCCCUUUCUCUCCUCUCCACCUUCACGAGGAAC